GACGUAGGGCGCGAGCGUUGUCCGGAUUUAUUGGGCGUAAAGAGCUCGUAGGCGGCUUGUCGCGUCGUCCGUGAAAACUUGGGGCUCAACCCCAAGCUUGCGGUCGAUACGGGCAGGCUAGAGUUCGGUAGGGGAGACUGGAAUUCCUGGUGUAGCGGUGAAAUGCGCAGAUAUCAGGAGGAACACCAGUGGCGAAGGCGGCUCGCUGGACCGGUUCUGACGCUGAGGCGCGAAAGCGUGGGGAGCAAACGGG
rnacentral:rRNA from 1 species